UACGAAGGGGGCUAGCGUUGUUCGGAUUUACUGGGCGUAAAGCGCACGUAGGCGGAUCGAUCAGUCAGGGGUGAAAUCCCAGAGCUCAACUCUGGAACUGCCUUUGAUACUGUCGAUCUGGAGUAUGGAAGAGGUGAGUGGAAUUCCGAGUGUAGAGGUGAAAUUCGUGGAUAUUCGGAGGAACACCAGUGGCGAAGGCGGCUCACUGGUCCAUUACUGACGCUGAGGUGCGAAAGCGUGGGGAGCAAACAGG
rnacentral:rRNA from 1 species